GGGGAAUAUUGCACAAUGGGCGAAAGCCUGAUGCAGCAACGCCGCGUGAGUGAUGAAGGUCUUCGGAUUGUAAAGCUCUGUCUUUUGGGACGAUAAUGACGGUACCAAAGGAGGAAGCCACGGCUAACUACGUGCCAGCAGCCGCGGUAAUACGUAGGUGGCGAGCGUUGUCCGGAUUUACUGGGCGUAAAGGGUGCGUAGGCGGAUGUUUAAGUGAGAUGUGAAAUACCCGGGCUUAACUUGGGUGCUGCAUUUCAAACUGGAUAUCUAGAGUGCAGGAGAGGAGAAUGGAAUUCCUAGUGUAGCGGUGAAAUGCGUAGAGAUUAGGAAGAACACCAGUGGCGAAGGCGAUUCUCUGGACUGUAACUGACGCUGAGGCACGAAAGCGUGGGUAGCAAACAGGAUUAGAUACCCUGGUAGUCCACGC
rnacentral:rRNA from 1 species